AUUGAACGCUGGCGGCAGGCCUAACACAUGCAAGUCGAGCGGAACGGCGGACGGGUGAGUAAUGCCUGGAAAUCGACCUGGUAGUGAGGGAUCACGACCGGAAACGGGCGCUAAUACCGAAUACUCUAAGUUGAACGAAGGGCGGAGUAGCUAGUGGGGGGGGUAAGGGCUUACAAGGGCGACGAUCGAUACCUGGUCUGGGAGGAUGAUCAGUCACACUGGAACUGAGACACGGCCCAGACUCCUACGGGAGGCAGCAGUGGGGAAUAUUGGACAAUGGGCGAAAGCCUGAUCCAGCCAUGCCGCGUGUGUGAAGAAGGUCCUAGGAUUGUAAAGCACUUUAAGUUGGGAGGCGUUACCAACAGAAUAAGCACCGGCUAACUCCGUGCCAGCAGCCGCGGUAAUAC
rnacentral:rRNA from 1 species